CGCAUGUCCCUGCAUGCAGCCCUUUGCAGAGCACCUGCAGGAAAUCUUUUGUAGGAAGAAAUAUUGCCAAUCUAUAAGUUACAUUUGUAGAUGACCUCUUAAUGUUAUGUUUCCAUAGUAAAUUCAUCUUGGGAUUGUGGUACAGCUAAAAAUGCAGGCAAGUGUAGUGUGCCAUUUGAUUCUGGGGUAAAUACGGCAUGGAAAUGACCUCCACUCUACUGACUUUUUUUUCAACUAAAAACCAAGCUUGUUAAUAUCUUGCUUCUAAAAUCAUCAAUAGGUGGAAGUGUGAUCAACCCCACGAGGAUACAGAAGUAGGAUGGGGGAAGUUGUCUUACGGACUUCGGAGUUGUCCUUUCAGCUGUCUGAAACAGCAUAAAAAAGAAGUGUUAGGAGCUGCUCUUAACCCUUUCAGAGUCCGAAGUCAAAAGGAGCUUUUACCUUAGAGUGGAGUGUUGAUGGUACACUUUGUGGUCUGGCUGGCACCAGUGAAGACUACGGUUAAUCCAGUUUUUGUUUAGAGAAACCACUGCAGAAAAGGAUACCUUCUUCUUUCACACUCCUCCAAGCUAUGGGAACUAGAGGGCUUGACGCAUCCUUUACAUCCUGCAUUUACUCUGACCACAGUCCCUCCCUGUUCUCACAAGUGAAGCUCAGCCCUGCUUCCCUUCUUGUUGAUUCCCAGUCAGCUACAUGA
rnacentral:lncRNA from 1 species